ensembl:lncRNA
CGAAGGCCUAAUUUCAGUUGUGUCUGUCUAGACCAUUUCCUUGUGCCUUUGGCUCAAGAGGAGCCUUUUCAGUGUGAUUGCUGGAGCGUGCACACAGAAAAUACACUGGGCUGUGUGCAGGGGAUGCUUCACGAGUUGGAGUUGCAUUGCAUGGCAUUUCUGCGGGUAACAGGGAGACCCAGCUGCUCCUCCUGGAGCUCCCUGAUCGCAAAGGGAUGCAGAGUGUGUGUGAGAAGAUGCAUCUGCCCCUGCAGACAGGGCCUGUUGUUGGAGAGCUAUUUCAGUAGUGACCUUUUUCUUGUGCUCCACAGUAGAGCCUCCAGCCAGCUCUCAGUGCUCACGGAACAGCAACAGCAACACGCACUGAAAUUGAGACACUGAAGUACCUCCCAACACCAGUGGAAUGGCAAAAUUCCCACGUACUGGGAAAGGACCAGUACUAGGAAGGAUGGGAUCCUUGAAACCAAAAUCUACCAAUCACUGCAGUAUUCCCAUUAAUUCUGAGGACUCUUCACAUUAAUCAAGGUUUGUUUAAGAGACUGCUACAUGUGCUCAAAAAAUUGCAGGAUCGACCUGCCUGCCAAAUGAGUAAUGUAGGGUUGCAGAUGCUUGACUUGGCCAAAUUCACAGCAAGGUUGGUGUGAAGUGGCAAUUGUGCCCCAGGGAGUCUUCAGGCUCUGACUCAUCUGUGGCAACAGAAUAAUAUUGAGUGGGGUUUCUGCCCCAAGCCAGGUGCUGAGGGGGCUGCAUUCUAAUGGGAAGGUGCCACCACCUACCCUGCUAGUGGCACUGAGGUGGGCUGAAAUUCCAGCUCAUUUCAGACAGAAGGUUGUGACUGUCUUGUCUUUCUGUAGAGCUCUUCCACAGCAGAUGAUUUGUCUGGACUUCAGUGGCAGGGAUGGAGUGACAGGGUGGGGAUGAAGUUAUCCCAAACCUAAACCAUUCAGAUAGUUUUGGUGGAUAGCACAUUUAAAAUCCUAAAACAUUAGAAAUUAUUAUUGAUCUCUGUACUUUUUG